GAGCUUCCUGGGGUCAGACCAGACGCCGCCUCUAUUGUGAGCUGGGAUCCCAGGCUGAGACGCUGCUGCUCCGCAGCGGGGUCUGUGGGGGGACAGACCUGUCACCUGCACUAACCCGCCUCUGUGCCCAGCCGGGGGACUUUCUGCGGGGGCUGGAACCAGCCCCUGGGGCAGCCCCAGGCUCUGCCGAUACCAGCCCCGGAGCCUGCAGGAUUUCCAAUUCCAAAACCCGACAUGAUCUCCCAGAUGGAACAGGGUGAAGAGCCAUGGACCCCAGAUCACCAGGGCUCUGAGGAAAGGCAGAUCCUUAGAAACAUUCGCGCAGGUGAGGGGACGGUGAGUGAGAACAAGGAGGAGAAUCCACAGCAGGAAGGUCUUGAGCAAGUGGAACCGCGUGGGAUCGUAUCAGGAAGAUCUGAAGGGAACAUUUCCCAGAAUCCUGAGCAUGAAGAUGCCCAUGAGAGUCAGCACAGGCCAGGAUUCAGCAAAGAAACCACGCAGGGAAGAGACAGGUUAUAGCCACUCACCGAGGGGGAGGUUUCAAAAGUCAUAAUGAAACUGUGUUCCAGCUGACAUUAAGCACUAAAGAAAAGCCGCACGAAUGUGUAAAGUGCAGG